rfam:Xanthomonas oryzae pv. oryzae KACC10331, complete genome.
AUGUACCACGCGUACACUGCGGUUCCCCCGCGCCGUCCACACCCGCCUGACGGCUGCUCGCUACGUUCUGUUAGCC